CCAAUCGAUGGAUUAUCACGAAGAUGGUAACUGAUCCGAUAAAAUUGAUGCACGGAUCGCUUUUCUUUGGAUAGAUGCAUCUCAAGUUUAUAGUAUGAGGACACUGAAGAGAGAGUGCAGGUGAUUGUUAGAGAAUAAUGGUAUCGAGCAUGACCAACACGAGUAGUCACAUGGAUGUCCAUCCACUCAUUAGUGACAUACUCGAUGCUAUAGUAGUGUGAGUAGUCUUUAAGCUUACGGUGCCUUGAUUGCUCAUAAUAGGGUUGUUGUAGUUUGACUACACAUAAAUAUGAUCCAUAACUAUAUGAGUCUUUAUAGUAGAUAUUGGCUAUAGUAGGUUCACUAUAGGAGUACGGUGCAUAUCUAGAUGAGAUCUAUCGAUUUUG
rnacentral:lncRNA from 1 species